GAAAUAAAAAAAAUUGAACUUCUAAUUCAAUAAAUAAUGAUUAAAAAAUCAUUUUAUUUCU
rnacentral:tRNA from 1 species